ACUUGCAAAAUGUUCAUCACUGGUGUAUAUUUGCCAUAUGUGUCAUAAACCAAAGAAAGUAUACUGUUUAUAUACAUAAAUAUUAGAUUUAUACAUUUUAAAGACUGAAACAUGUGAGAUAAUAAAUGGAGCAUUUUGAUUUGCUAUCUAAGGAGUGCAAAUUUUCUCUCCCUCAUACUAGACUUGAUAAUAGCUUCCCAGUCUUCAGGUGAAUGUUUCGUUUAGAU